CCUACGGGCGGCAGCAGUGAGGAAUAUUGGUCAAUGGCCGGAAGGCUGAACCAGCCAAGCCGCGUGAAGGACGAAGGUGCCAAGCAUUGUAAACUUCUUUUGUCAAGGGACAAAAUCAGGCUCGAGAGCCUGACCAAGGGUACCUGAAGAAAAAGCAUCGGCUAACUCCGUGCCAGCAGCCGCGGUAAUACGGAGGAUGCGAGCGUUAUCCGGAUGUAUUGGGUUAAAGGGGUGCGUAGGCGGACUGGUAAGUCAGCGGUAAAAGCCCGGGGCUCAACCCCGGCGAGCCGUGGAAACUGGGUGUCUUGAGAGGUCGAGGGGUAUGCGGAAUGCGCGGUGUAGCGGUGAAAUGCUUAGAUAUUGCGCAGAACUCCGAUUGCGAAGGCAGCAUACCGGCGGCGAUCUGACGCUGAGGCACGAAAGUGUGGGGAUCGAACAGGAUUAGAUACCCCUGUAGUC
rnacentral:rRNA from 1 species